GACCCCAUCAUAUUUUUUAACAAGGAAACCCUAAUAUAUUUUGUCAUUCUCACUUCUCUAAUUUAGAGAAGCCAACAACCGCCUAUACCCAUCUCUCUCUUCUUUGAGAGCAAACAACCGCCCCACCAUGCCGCCGCCAGAUUUGAUCAUCGGCCGGUGACUGUUGUUCCAUGCUCCUCAUCUCUUCUUAUCUCCUAAGAUAACACAGAUUUGAGGAAAAGAAAGGAGGGAGAGUUAUCGAAAUAUGGCGUAAAAGACGCAUCUCCGACAACCUCCAUGGAAAUCGGUGAUGCUUAUGCUUCUUAGUUCUUUUUCUCUCUUUAUUUCUCAUAUAUGUGUGUUACCAUAUUUGAAAACGGGUUGAAGUUACACAAAUUUUAAAUCAGGCCGAUGAGAAUAAAAUUUUUGAGGCCUUAGUCAUGAUGAGUUUUGACUGAUAAAGGACAAGAUACUACACUCUCGGAUCCGGAACCAAAUAUAUUUAUGAGACGAUGACGAAAGCCAAAGGAAAAAAUAAAAGACGAGAAUGUAAAUGUCUGUGCUUUAAGAGGCAACACGGUUGGCCACCAGAGUUGCUACCAAGUCAGCGUUCGCAUUCUAAUGUCUUAUUGCUAUAUGGUAUACACCAUCCAAGCCUCCAACAAUAUUUUCUAAAUCAUUUUCAAGAGAGUAUCUUUCUAUAUUAUUUUAAAACUAUUUUUCCAAAAACAAUUCACCAAAAAAUAUUUUUUUCAAGUAAUCUUUCGAGAACAAAAAAAAACACUUUCAAAUCAUUUUCAAGAGCAAUUUUUCAAAACAAUUCAUUUUUAAAACAAAAACCAUUUAAAAAAUAUGUCACUUUAUUAGCUAUCUUUUACGUUAUAUUACUUCGCUAACAAUUUUACUUCUCUUAUCUUGUGAGGCACUAUCAUACGAAGUCGCUUUCAGAAGACGGCAUUUGGAGAAAGAUUGAAGACAAUCCCCGUCAAGCUCCCCGCUUAGCACUUCCUAUUAUAGGAUGUAUCCAAAAAAUCGAAAAGUAUAGUACAAUUGUAGAUAGAUAUUGUGCUUGCUUGCUUUGAUAUUAUCUAUUUUCUAAACAGUGAGGGUGAGUUGCAUAUAGUUAAAUAACUGAGUUAACUUGCAAUAUGGUACAUUAGAAGGUUCAUGGACUUGCUGAAUUAAUUGGGAUUGAUAUUAUAUGAUUAAUUAAGUUAGUUGUAUACAUAAAAAUGAAAGGCUUCUCAUUCCCUUUUCAAAAUACAUA
rnacentral:lncRNA from 1 species